AUGCCUUAAACUUAUGACUAAGGAAAAUAACAAUUUGGGGUGAAGCCUGAAUCCUCACUGCUAAUGUGAGACAAAUUUUUGAGUGAGUAAAGGUAACCCCUAAGGUGACCCACUACUUUGUGGGGGAAAAAGAAAGAAAAUCAAUAUUCU